AGUUCCGGACGCGGCCGCCGCCGUCGCCGCCAUCUGUCACCUCCACUCCGGCAUCAGCAGCCAGUCGCCCGUGUCCCGCCUGUCUCCUCGGCGGAGCCUGCUGCCCGUCCUGCCACCUCUCUGCUCUGUUCUUGUCUCUGCCUUCAUUCCCGAAUGGAUCUGGUAGGAGUGGCAUCGCCUGAGCCCGGGACGGCAGCGGCCUGGGGACCCAGCAAGUGUCCAUGGGCUAUUCCUCAAAAUACAAUAUCUUGUUCUUUGGCUGAUGUAAUGAGUGAACAGCUGGCCAAAGAAUUGCAGUUAGAAGAAGAAGCUGCCGUUUUUCCUGAAGUUGCGUAAGUAAAAUUCACAAAUACUUUAUCUAGCAACUUAUAGCAGAGUUUUAGGAUUUGAUGAGUAAUUGUCAUGACAAGUGGUUUGGAAAAAGCAGUGCAGAAGAAAGCACCAUAUUGAGAGUCCAGUGAUACUUGAAUUUUGGUCCUGAUUUUGCAUUGGUUUUCAUUAUUAUCUUGGACAAACCACUGUUUCUGUGGGUUUUAGUUAUAUCGCGUUAAUGCUGCAGUUGAACUAGAUGA
rnacentral:lncRNA from 10 species